rnacentral:rRNA from 1 species
UGGGGAAUCUUAGACAAUGGGGGCAACCCUGAUCUAGCCAUGCCGCGUGAGUGAAGAAGGUCCUAGGAUCGUAAAGCUCUUUCGCCUGUGAUGAUAAUGACAGUAGCAGGUAAAGAAACCCCGGCUAACUCCGUGCCAGCAGCCGCGGUAAUACGGAGGGGGUUAGCGUUGUUCGGAAUUACUGGGCGUAAAGCGCGCGUAGGCGGGCUGGAAAGUUGGGGGUGAAAUCCCGGGGCUCAACCCCGGAACUGCCUACAAAACUACCAGUCUGGAGUUCGAGAGAGGUGAGUGGAAUUGCGAGUGUAGAGGUGAAAUUCGUAGAUAUUUGCAGGAACACCAGUGGCGAAGGCGGCUCACUGGCUCGAUACUGACGCUGAGGUGCGAAAGUGUGGGAAGCAAACAGGAUUAAAUACCCUGGUAGUCCACACCGUAAACGAUGAAUGCCAGUCGUCGGGUUGCAUGCAAUUCGGUGACACACUUAACGGAUUAAGCAUUCCGCCUGGGGAGUACGGCCGCAAGGUUA